rnacentral:rRNA from 1 species
AUUGAACGCUGGCGGCAUGCCUUACACAUGCAAGUCGAACGGUAACAGGUCUUCGGAUGCUGACGAGUGGCGAACGGGUGAGUAAUACAUCGGAACGUGCCUAGUAGUGGGGGAUAACUACUCGAAAGAGUGGCUAAUACCGCAUGAGAUCUACGGAUGAAAGCAGGGGAUCGCAAGACCUUGUGCUACUAGAGCGGCCGAUGGCAGAUUAGGUAGUUGGUGGGAUAAAAGCUUACUAAGCCGACGAUCUGUAGCUGGUCUGAGAGGACGAUCAGCCACACUGGGACUUAGACACGGCCCAGACUCCUACGGGAGGCAGCAGGGGGGAAUUUUGGACAAUGGGCGCAAGCCUGAUCCAGCAAUGCCGCGUGCAGGAUGAAGGCCUUCGGGUUGUAAACUGCUUUUGUACGGAACGAAAAGCCCUGGGUUAAUACCCAGGGGUCAUGACGGUACCGUAAGAAUAAGCACCGGCUAACUACGUGCCAGCAGCCGCGGUAAGAC